AGUAAUGGAUGGUUACUGAAUACUGAGAAGUGAGUCUGUGGAAUAAAUUAGAGAUUGAUUUAUGAAUUAUUGAUUAUGUAAUUGGAAUAUUGAGUGAUUGAAUUAUAUGAUAAGUUAUUGGAAGAUUGAUUAUGGAUGAAAGAUUAUGAUUGUUGUUUAUUGAGAAUUGUGUGUGUGUGUUUUGACAGAGGAAGUUUAUAAUUACAAGAAUUCUGUGAAUUCAGAUUGGUUGGAGUGAAGUCGGUUAUUCUUGGU
rnacentral:lncRNA from 1 species